rnacentral:rRNA from 1 species
UACGUAGGGUGCGAGCGUUAAUCGGAAUUACUGGGCGUAAAGCGUGCGCAGGCGGUGAUGUAAGACAGAUGUGAAAUCCCCGGGCUCAACCUGGGAACUGCAUUUGUGACUGCAUCGCUGGAGUGCGGCAGAGGGGGAUGGAAUUCCGCGUGUAGCAGUGAAAUGCGUAGAUAUGCGGAGGAACACUGAUGGCGAAGGCAAUCCCCUGGGCCUGCACUGACGCUCAUGCACGAAAGCGUGGGGAGCAAACAGG